GACACGGUAAGGAUUGACGGACUGAAGGCUCUUUCUCGAUUCCGUGGAAAGUGGUGCAUGGCCGUUUUUUGGUUGGUGGAUCGAUCCGUCUGGUUAAUUCCGUUAACGAACGAGACCUCGGCACUCCGAAUAGCGCGGCGGACGUCGCGGCCUCCGGGCCGUCUUCCGCACGAGCUUCUUAGAGGGACCGUCCCCCGCCGGGGAAGGAGGUGCGAGGCAACGACAGGUCUGUGAUGCCCUUAGAUGUUCUGGGCCGCACGCGCAUUACACUGACGCGUCCAACGGGUGACUCCCGACCCGAAGGGGCCGGGGAAUCCGCAAGGCGCGUCGUGAUGGGGAUUGAACGUUGCAAUUGUUGUUCACGAACGAGGAAUUCCUAGUAGGCGCGGGUCAUCAACCCGCGCCGAUUACGUCCCUGCCCUUUGUACACACCG
rnacentral:rRNA from 1 species